CACGUAGGGCGCGAGCGUUGUCCAGAAUUAUUGGGCGUAAAGAGCUCGUAGGCGGCCUGUUGCGUCCGCUGUGAAAGCCCGGGGCUUAACCCCGGGUCGGCAGUGGAUACGGGCAGGCUAGAGGUAAGUAGGGGAGAAUGGAAUUCCCGGUGUAGCGGUGAAAUGCGCAGAUAUCGGGAGGAACACCGGUGGCGAAGGCGGCUCUCUGGGACGGUACUGACGCUGAGACGCGAAAGCGUGGGGAGCGAACAGG
rnacentral:rRNA from 1 species